rnacentral:rRNA from 1 species
GACGAACGCUGGCGGCGUGCUUAACACAGAAUGAAGAAACGAGUGGCGAACGGGUGAGUAACGCGUAAAGAACUUACCUCACAGUUAGGGACAACAUUUGGAAACGAAUGCUAAUACCUAAUACUGUGAGAGAGCUUUGCGUCCCAUUAGCUAGUUGGAGAGGUAACGGCUCACCAAGGCGAUGAUGGGUAGCCGGCCUGAGAGGGUGACCGGGCACAAGGGGAUUGAGGAAGGGCCCGUACUCCUACUGGAGGCAGGAGCGGGGAUUAGUGGACAACGGACCAAAGUCUGAUCCAGCAAUUCUGUUUGUACGAUGAAGUUUUCGGAAUGUAAAGGGCUGUCAGUUGGGAAGCGGUACCAACAGAAGAAGUGACGGCUAAAUACGUGCCAGCAGCCGCGGUAAUAC